GUGGAUGUGGGCGCUGUGGCCGCCACCAAGGAUGUAGGGGUCGCGCCCCAAGCUGCAAGUACGUGGUAGGGCGUCAAAACUGACGAGGACACGGGAGCCGCACUGCAGCAUGAGUGUUUUUCAUAAUUUAUUUAGUGGUGAAAUUUUCAGGCCUAUGAACUGGAUGAUAUUUUCAUUGAUGGCAAUCUUCAUCAACCUAUCUACGAGGACAUUGAUAUACUAAUUGCUGCACAAGUGUUCUCAGCACCGGCUAGCAAGAAGAGAGUAUGAUUGUUCAAUGCUCACUGUUGUAAGCUUGUUUCACGAGGAGCUUCUCAGUGUUGUACAUGUAGGGUGUGGAUAAUAUAAAUAAAAUCUAUUUGUUCA